rnacentral:rRNA from 1 species
GGGCCGCGGUAAUUUGACCGUGCGAAGGUAGCAUAAUCAGUAGUCUUUUAAUUGGAGGCUUGUAUGAACGGUUGGAUGAGGGACAUUCUGUCUUUUUUCUAAUUUAAAAAUUUAACUUUUAAGUGAAAAGGCUUAAAUUGUUUGAAGUGACGAUAAGACCCUAUAAAACUUUAUACAUUUUGUGCUUUUCUUAGUAAUUAAGUAUAAAUUAAUAUCUGUGCCUGUGUAUUUCGUUGGGGAAACGUUGAUAUAAAUAUAAUUGUCUAGAAAAUCUAAUAAUUAUAAUUAGAUUGUGAUCCUUCGUUGUGGAUUAAAAGGUUAAGUUACUUUAGGGAUAACAGCGUAAUUUUCUUUGAGAGUUCUUAUCGACAAGAUUAGUUGCGACCUCGAUGUUGAAUUAAAAUUUCAAGUAGGUGUAGCCGCUUGCUUAGUGGGUCUGUUCGACCUUUAAAAUUUU